rnacentral:misc_RNA from 1 species
GAUGAAGAACGUAGCGAAAUGGGAUAAGUAAUGUGAAUUGCAGAAUUCAGUGAAUCAUCGAAUCUUUGAACGCACAUUGCGCCCGCGAGUAUUCUCGCGGGCAUGCCUGUCCGAGCGUCAUUUCAACCCUCAGGGCCCGCCUGCUUGCAGGCGCGGCGCUGGUGUUGGGGAUCGGCUACCCUGCCGUCCCCCAAAUACAGUGGCGGUCUCGCUGCAGCCUCCCCUGCGUAGUAUCAACACUCGCAUGCGGAGCGCGGCGCGGCCACGCCGUAAAACCCCCGACUUUCUGAACGUUGACCUCGGAUCAGGCAGGAAUACCCGCUGAACUUAAGCAUAUCAAUAAGCGGAGGA